AUUCAUCCCAUUCUCAUAAAGACUCUGUGGGGACCCAGUGCUCCCUCACCAGGAAAAGUAUCUGAGCCUUGUGGAGAGCGGGGCGCCAAUUCUAACUACUGGACUUUACACGGACCCGGCCAGUGCUCCCUUGUUUGAAAGACCAAGUGUCAGUGUUGAUCCCUGAACACUCAGUCUGGGCAUCAGACUACAAAGUGAUGAGAUCCAGAGACCUAUUGCUGGACACCCCAAAGUUUAGAGACCAGGAGGAUGGGGGGGGACCCCCCAAGGCAGGCUGAGAAGGAGCAGUCAGUGGGAUAACAGAAAGAGCAGGGGAGAGUGACGUCCGAGAAGGAUGAUGGACAUUUUCAAAUGUUGAUGGGAAGUUUUUAAGCUGAAAGAACCAGCAGCAAGUAGGAAGGGAAACUGACGAGGAAGGAGCAGCGAGGAAGGGAGAGCCCCUGAGUGAGAGGACGGGCCUCCCGAACAGAGAGGCUGGUCUCACACAGAGCAGAGAACGUGCCCCUGGCUACAAGAGGGAGGACAGCUCCCGUGGACACAGGCGCACCUACGUGCAGCAUUGCAGUGGAAGGAGGCUGUGGACAUGCGCUUCUCUCUACAUCCGUUUCCUCAGUGGAACAGGAGCAAGAUCAUCAUCUGAAAACAGAAGCCCAGAACCCCAGAGGUCCAUGAGAAAGCCUCGCUGAUGUCACGUCACCAGGCUUCAAGGAGCCAAGCCUGGGGAGCGGCGGCUAUGGGCGCCC
rnacentral:lncRNA from 1 species